ensembl:lncRNA
GAAAAGCUCUGUCACAGCUGCUAGGAUAGUCUCCUGUUAUACUCUCAUGUCUAGUUGCUAGUGCACAAGAAAAAUCACAAAAGUACCUAAUAAAAAGAACAAAACUGGCCACCUGUGGGUGCCAUCUGGUGGUGAGCACUCUGAUCCUGAUCCAGCAAUGUUUUGGAAUGCAUGCUUACCUUUAAAGGCAUGAACGUUCUUCUGAAGUGUGUAAGCUAAAUCACGCACAGCCUGCUAGGCACGUUGGAAGAAUGAAUCCUAAUGCAAGUCCUCCUAUGGAGAUUCAUUAGAAGGGCAAAUAUUUUAAGAACUAAGGCUUGUAGCAACCCUGAGAAGGAAAAAGCACUUCUUGCUCAUGGGAAGACUGAAGAACAAGGCAAGGAGAUCUGUUGUGAUGUCACAGGACACAUGAGAAAGCAUGGAAGGGCUGGGAACAGAGCUCAGCAGCUAUCUUCAUUCUGCUGUCUUUGCCACAGAGCUCAUGCAGUUUCUACUUGGACCAUGCCAUGGAAAAGAAUCACUGCAUUUCUCAAACUAUUUACAAAUACUUUAAAUGAUGAAAACCCACUGAAGCCAGCAGGAAACACAAUCCAGCAAUUACACAGCAGCAGCAGCUUGGAUUUUUCCUGAUCUCUAUUCGGUGGAAGAGUGGUGGUUAUUUGUAAUUAUGUCUUUAUAGAAAUACUUAAUAAUGUUUGCUUGUUUCCAACAUACCUGCAGACUUGUCUCUAGAGUUGAUCACCUGAUGCUAGAAAAACUGUGGACUCCAACAAGGUUUAUUCUCAAUCUCAGAUUCAUAUCAAAAAUUUUUUUAAAGAUGUACUAGUGUUGUUUUGGCUGCAGAGUCUGUAGCAAUUAAGUCAUAUUAGCUAUGAAAAGAGCACUAUUUAGAGUUUAAUGUAAAGGUGCGGUAGAAGGAUUAAUGACUGCAUCCACAAUUUCAAAGAUACAUGUCUCAACCCAGGCAAGUUAUAAGCAGUGACAGAGAUUCCUCUGUUCUGAACAUGGUCUACCCCAUGUGGCUCUCUUCAAUUUAUGUCUGAACUGGUAGAAAAUUGUUAUUACAAAAUUGCCACUAUAAUGCUGUUGUAUAUAUAUGAUGUCUACUGCAAAAUGCGAUAGUCUUGUAAGACCAUGUGAUUUACAAGGUUAAAAGCUAGGUUUUCAUCUGUUAUCUAAGGGUCACAUUUUAAAAAGAACUUGGAAGCCAACACUGCAGAAUUUGUGUGGAAAUAUGGCCCUAGUUUGGCACUCUAAGAUCUUUGAUACCCUGGUUUAACUGGGCUGAGAAUUGACAGUAAUAAGACCUGCAGCUUGGUGGUUUGUAUCACUAGCAGUGAUAUAUUCUGCCACCUUGUGAAAGAGCUGAAUUUAAUUCUUCAUUUAUAGUUAGCACAUCUGUAAUGACUGCAUAAUAUUUUAGAUGAGUUGUUCCUGGAAAUAACUUCUAUUUUGUAACCAUUUCUGCUCUGAGAAAUUAAAAUGAACUAUUUUGGCUAGCUGACUUAACACAUAUAUAUUUGAACUGUUGAACUUGCUCAGAGUUUUUUGUUCAGGUGAGCUUAGGUUGAACUGUGUUCAGUUCAAUGCUAUAAAAGUUAUAUUUCAGGAGCUUCGUGCUUUUUCUUCUUUCUGUGAGCUGUAUUCCUCAGUAGGAUGGUGUUUUUCAUGAGUCUUCUCUUUUACUGGCCCAUCACCAUGCAUCAGUGGAGUCACAUGGCUGUGGAAGGGAGACGACAGACAAGCACCAGCUGGGGGCUGAGCUGUCUGCAGGGUGGACAUGUGUGGCACUGAAACUGUUCACCAGGGCAUGUUUAAUGUUGAACUAAGCCUUAAUGAAACACUGCAGAAAGGUCCUUGAUCAUUUCUGAAUGUGAGGUUUUCUUAGCUUUUUGGGGAAUAGAGACACCUUUUAGCAAGUAAGUAACCUAAUCUUUAGAUGGAAAUGUAAUUUUCUGUUGAAAAAGUGUUUUUCUGGAAAACUUUCAAUGAGCCUUGAUAGGACCUCUGUAGAAACUUCUGGAAUUUUGUUGGCUAUGCCUGUUGGAUAACUUAUGCUCCUUUGAAUAAAUGAAACCAAAACCUCA